AGUGAACGCUGGCGGCGUGCUUAACACAUGCAAGUCGAACGAGAACGGAAUAUAGCUUGCUAUAUUUGUCAGCUAAGUGGCGCACGGGUGAGUAAUGUAUAGAUAACCUGCCCUUAAGAAAGGAAUAACAGUUGGAAACGACUGCUAAUGCCCUAUAUGCCUUUAAUACAUAAGUAUGCAAGGGAAGCGCUUUAGUGCUUAAGGAUGGGUCUGUAUGGUAUCAGCUUGUUGGUGAGGUAAUGGCUCACCAAGGCUAUGACGCCUAACUGGUUUGUGAGGCUAAUCAGACCCACUGGAACUGAGACACGGUCCAGACUCCUACGGGAGGCAGCAGUGGGGAAUAUUACACAAUGGACGAAAGUCUGAUGCAGCAUCGCCGCGUGGAGGAUGACACAUUUCGGUGCGUAAACUCCUUUUAUAUAGGAAGAUAAUGACGGUACUAUAUGAAUAAGCACCGGCUAACUCCGUGCCAGCCGCCGCCGUAA
rnacentral:rRNA from 1 species